CGGCAAGUUCAGGCAUGAUGAGCUUUUUCACAAUUCUGAGGCAGAAAAUUUAGAAAGCUGCUUUUAAAAUUUUUUUAGCAUAAAUUAAGGUUUAAUAUUACAUCCAAACAUAAAAAUUUACUUUGGAUUACAUGUAAAGUUAGUCCUGUAACCUUCCAGUGCUGAGAGCCAAGCAGGGACACUCAUGGGGCCGAGGGGGUGUCCCCAAGAGCACCCCACACAGGGCCCCCGGGAGGGGCUCACAGAAAGGCGGGCCAGACGGAGCGUGGUGAGAAUCAGAAGCCUGGUCCCUGGAGCAUUGGCCAGGCUGGGACGGAGAGAAGACUGGAGAUGCAUGAUGGGAAGCCAGUUACCGGCCUGUUGGUCGGUGGACACCUAUCUAGUAACCACUGUCUCCCAGGCACUGGGCUGCAUACAGGGGUACAGUAGUGAGCAACUCCUUUCCCUUGGGUGUUUACAUCCUGGGAUAGGAAAGGGGAAAGCCGAAAAAUACCACACGGACCACGCACAUCCACGCCCCGACAGACACACUGACGAUGGCGGGUUGGCAGCGUGCCCCAAGAACGGAUUCACGUAAGAGUCAGAAACAGAAAUGUGCAGAGGAAAUGUCUGGGGAGCCAUUUGGGUCCGGCUCACCGGGAGAGAAGGAUGCUGUGCUGUGGGGCUGGUGGCCUCUGCAGUCACCACUAUCCUCACUGUCAGUCAGUGUGUACAGGAGAGCUUGUGGCAGUGGCGGUGGGGUGCUGCCUUUCCCCCUGCAAGCAUGCGCUUUACCUGCUGAGACUCCGGGUGCGGCAUGGCCAGGAGCAAGGCCCAUGGCAGCCAGCAUGCAGAGCGGCGAUCUCUGCUUGCGGAUGCUGGCUUGCUCAGAGACUCUGUUGCAUCGUGGCUUCAUGUGGUACAAGACACAUGGUGGCCUCAAGGGACACAGUUCUGCUGCAAGUGUUGCUUCAAACGCUACUCUACCUGAAAGGGGUCGCGCGUGCCCCUUUGGGCGCCCCCUCCCAAUCAGGUCACUCAAGCACCGAGAGGAGUCCCUUAUCAGAUGUUGGCGUCAUUUCUGGGAAGAAUUCAACUCGGGGAGGAAAACAAAACUUAAGUUGGGAAAACGAAACAUAAGUUAGGAAGAACCCGGAAGUCAGGUAACUUCAUCUCAAGUUCCAAAACCCACCAUGACAGAGUAAGGGUAGCUGUGCCGUUACCAGAAUGGUUGAAAUCUGGAGUUAAAAAGUACCUCAGUCCCGUGGUUGGUCUGCCUGCCUUCCAAGGAAUUCACUCACCUUCAUCAUUUUCUUCAAAUAACCAUUGUUACAUUCCUUUUAAAAAUAAACAACUUUAGGCUUCCAAGACUCUCUGGUAGAUGAGAGAGAGAUUGAGCCGUCAGUUGUAGGCUGAAGACUUCAAAUCCGCAAACAGAAAAUUGAAAGAGAGAGGGCAUAUGUACUCAUGCUCUUUGCUAGACCUGGUAUGAUAAUGCGCACUGAACAAACAUCAAAAUUACACAUGUGCCAGUGGCUCCUAUACUCCUUUUCCUGCUUCUUCAAACUAAAAUUAAAAAUUCUACAUCUGAACUAGCCCAGAAAUCUAGCAAUCUUCAAUCACUAGCUAGACAUAUGGGCCCAUCUCAU
rnacentral:lncRNA from 1 species